GGCACCGGAAACGGCCCCCGGCCCGCUGGAGGGCAGCGGAGCGGAGCAGGCUAGAAGAUCUCAAAAUCCUUGAAGAAAAAUAUGUACCGAUGAUGAAAUACAAGCCAAGGGGACAGGAUUUUGAGACUUUCACCCUAGUUCAUAUGCCAACAGUGCAAGUCUUUCUUACUGCAAGAAUGAACCAAACUUAAAAUCUCCCUUAAAAAAAAAAAAACAACAAAACAAAAACCCAAAAACAAACCAUCAAACAAACAAGUGAGAAAGCUGUCUGGUAUUAUUAAUACGUAUGCUGAAUGCCAACUUUCACCUUACUUACGGCAUCUGCAAAGAGCUGCUGGAAGCACCUGUCCAAAAGCAGACAUACCGUAUUUUGUUGGAAAGACGUCCUCAUCUGUCACUAGCUUCUGCACGGAACUCAUGACGAAGUCAACAUACUGAGGAGCAGUGCACUUGAUCUUCUUUCCCCGCUCAUCAUACCAGUAGUACUGUCUGUGGAGAGAAUUGACAGUGUCACCAGAUUAUGCCUUGGCUCCUCAGCUCAACUCCUUUAAGAGGUUAGCGUCUAAAUAAUAUAAAACAACAGCUGCAACAUUACCAAAAUACGACAUAGCUGCUACAGAAGAGAUUCACCUCAGGGUAUAUUUCUACAUCUAAACCCUUGAAUUUCUGUUAGCCAGUUUUGUUUCUCCCUACCAAUUUAGUCAAGAGUGCAGGUAGUGGUACCAAGCACAGAAAGCCUGCUGACAAGUCUUCACGGAGAGGAGCUCUACUGAGGCAGCAGUAACUCCCUGUCCAUGACAGACUGAGGGUGUACAUACAGUCUAUAGAACUGUACAGGAAAGCAUUAUAUAACUAUUUUUAAAGGGCAACAACAUUGCACAGUGAUAAAUUGGUGAUCUUCUGAUGCUUAACAUCACAAAACAUAAAUUAGUCUUGUAGUGUAGUAUUAUUAAACAGACAGAAGGUGGCUCCAAAACACCAGCCUUUUCAAGCUGGUGCUCUGCAGUACUGGCAGCAUUUUUAAGCACUACAAAUCCUGUUCCAAAAUCCAGUAUGGGGAAGGUUUUCAGGACCCUUCUGCACAUCCCUUCCAGCAUGCCUUUGAACUCUGCUCCUUUGGUUACAGUUACAGACGCCCAAAACCAUCUGAAUUUACAUUUGACUCUGCCAACAGUGAAUAAUCCUUUUGGAUCUUAAGGAACAGGAGACAUUAGCAUAUUGCCUGGCUCUUCAAAAGCAACCAUAAUUCAAUCAGUUAACCAUAAUCUUGAUUAACUGCAGCCAUCCCUCACCUGACAGAGAAUCUGAAGGCUACAAAAGCACUGAAGGUAUAGACUGCAUUGAACUGGAAGGAUCUAUACGUGCCACUUGGAAAGUGAAGCUUUAUGCAUACUGACCAGCAGAACAGUCCUGAAGCAACUGAAGAAAAAUGUAAAGUUUCUUCUCUUCCGGUGCUGGCUUUUUACCAUUUGGCUUUCCCUUGGACUUCCUGCAAGAGAUUAAGAAGAGGGAAGAAAGGUUACCUUUACUGUUGAUGAACAGCUACAGAAACCUGAAAGAAGCUGGUUUAUCCAAAUUCCUCUAUUUGUGUUUUCACUGCUCCUCCUGCCUUCCCUCCCCUUAUCUCUUUUUUUUUUUUUUAAUUAAAGCAAAAGAUAGUUUCUUAAAAAGUAUAUUUGAACUCAGUCACUUUUUUCAAGUAACAUUGGAAGUUCUGAAUGGCAUUAAGACUGAGCUGCUCCACCUCCACUGCCCUUUUGCCAGUUUAGAUUGCAAACUAUUGGGAGCAACAGUCUCUCUUUAUGCUUAUGAACAGUCGCGACAGCAGAAUGCCACCGUGCCUGAAGGAGCUACUCUAACACGAGUAUACUAACGAUCUGCUGAAUCAUACAUGUAACUGUCACCUGCAAAAUGGGAGUUUGAGGGACAGUAAAAGUGGACUCCUGCAAGACAGAUAGCUCUCAGUUAGAAAAAUGCUCUUUCCACACAACGUGCUGGCACUGCUCAUUCAAAGCUACAGCAUUCCUCACUACUCCAGCCCUACAUUCUCAGAGAUACCAGAAGCCUGGAAGCAAGCAUCUGUGACUCCAGCUAGAGGCACUGGUAACUACAAAAACACCUGCUUUCUCAACUCCCUGGAUACCUGAGACAGAAAGAUCUGAGUUCAUUUUCUUCUGAAAAUCCUUUAAAAUCCGAUGCAUUAUGAAAUAACCUUCCAUUUGGAUUUAUAAAAGCAGACGAACCAUUCCAUAAAAUGCAUUUAUCUCCACGGCAUACCGUAACUUUUCAUCUCCCAUUUCUAAAGCGUUUGUUGUAAUCACUAGAGUUUUCCUCUCACUCUCGUUUUUAACAUCCUCAAGCUAGACUCUCAACCCAAGCUGUAUUCCUGGGCCAGGGGUUCACUAAAGACUUCUGAGGCAGGAUGGCAGGUCCACACUUUCAUCUUUUAGGCUAUAUGGUCAAACAGCUGUAUAUCCCUGUGUUUCUACAGUUAAAAAAUCCACCUAACCAGAGACAGAAGAUCUACUUAAUGGUCACGGACAAGUACAGUAAGGCAAUACUUGCACAUUUCUUGCCAUCUCCUUUUUCCACAUCAGUGCAUUCCAAUUCAAAUGAAGCCUGCAAGAUUUGUCUCUUACAUUUAUUUAAGUAACCUGGACUAAUUCUCAUAGCUGCUCCACAAAGGGAUGUUUUAGGACAUGCGAAGUCAGAUGUCCCUCAGCACAAGGCUCUUAAUACAGAGGGGUUGCUUAGUUAGACCAACAGCUCCUGGUUGUCAGCUAACUAUUCUUGCCUUCAAACCUUUACAUUUGCUAGAUCUCGUUUGAACCUCACCAUGUAAAAGUAAGCUACAGAUAAGAAAGAAAAGUCCAUGCAAGCAAGAACUGCAAGAGGGCCUUAAAGGUAUUUAAAGAAGCUAUGAAAGAUACACUUAAUUUAUUCUUGGGCCUGCAACUUCAGAUUUUCACAGAACUUGAGAUGACAUUCAAGGAAAAUGUAAUAGCAUAAAACAACAGUCUCGUUCGAUAGUCUGUAGUCUGACUUUGUAGCAAAUGAAACAACAUGUUUGACCUCUUCCUUCUGCAGGAAUACCAUGUUAAGACUUGCACCUACCUUACCCUGACAGUCAGGAGCAUAAAUCCAGUUGAAACUAUGCACUUGGCCCUGAGCUAGUAAAAAAUACUCCAGGCCACUGAUUUGCUUAAUUCCCAGCACAGGCUGCCUUACUCCUAUGCUGCUGAAACCAAGCCUGGCACGCUCCAUACAGCACCUUCAUACCUGCUGGGCCUCUGACAGACAAUAUUAAGGUCUAUUCAGAAUAUACUCUUUAGGGUUUUUUCAGCUGGUUGGGUUUAGUGGGUUUUGGGUUGGGGGGGGGGGGGGGGGGUACUCAGGCAUUCAAGGAUAAGUUGAUUUUCUAUGAAAAUUAUAGUUCUAGUAACAGUCAUGCAGAAAAUACCUUCAACUUCAGAGACUGGUUCAACAAACCGCAUUAACCACACUUGGGGAGAAAAGCGAUCAGUGAGUAGUUUGGAUAGAACAGAGUUUGUGUCUUUGCUUUACUUCAGGAUACUUAAACCAAGGGCCCCAGGUUAGGGCUGUGCCACGACAGCUAAGAGCAGUCUUCUGAGAGGAGGAGGAGGGGGGAGAGAGACAACAAGGUCAAAGACAGUCUGUCAUAGAGCCAGGCUGUGGAGGGAAACCACAGAAGGAAGCCAGACAUACAAGGCUGAGGCAAGCCUUCCACCGAAUAGAAAUGGGUAGUGUAUACCUCAUUCUCACUUCAGCAUCUCCUCCCCAUUUCAAGAAAUGAAUCGAAAAUGCAACACUAAAUAUAUUUCACAAGUUUGCUAAUGCAAACAACUACACGUCGUCCUUUCACAAAACCCAAAGCCCCUCAUUUCCACACAAGCAUCAGUUCCCUGCUAGAUUAGUACAUGCAGCUGCUUUGUGUCUUUUCAAUAGAUUGUGUCAGUCUUUCCACAACUGCCUUGUGCUGGAACUGGAGCACUCCAAACAGAAGCCUCCUGAAGGAUCCCAUGCAUUACCCCUUUCCAAAGCUUUGGUUUGAUUUAAAAAAGAACCUGACUCAUGGGCAUCAUCACUGAACCUGCAAAAUGCCCAUAAUCACCAAUACCAAAGGGUUUAUUCACACCACUGAAACCUGAAUGCCAAAUCACUAUGUGCAGCACAAACUUCUUUUUAACCUUUUGCUGGUGCUGAGAGCUAAAGCAAGACCACAAAAAUUGUUUCUACUGACAGAUUUCCACGACUUGUAUGCAGUGCAGUUGGGACACUACAUGGGCCAAAUAUUUUAAGUACAAACUAAAAAAAAUUCCAGUCUUAAAAACGUCAAGUUUGGAACCAGACCACACGUCUUCCCUCAAUUCGGCAUAACAUAGAUUAUAAAGUUAGACUUACUCAUAUUAAUUGAGUCACGCUCAGUCUAGGCUGUAAAACUGUGGGUUUAGUUUGGAAACUGUCAAUACUAGUCAAUACUAAAGCAUUUUCUUUAGAGACUUACAAAGCUGGAGCAUAGUACAGUACAGAGAAAACAGUUUUAGAAAUGUGAUUCCAUAUGAUUAAAAAUCAACAAAUAGUUCCAUAUUCUAGAUAAACCAAAACUCAUACAUUCACAAUUACCAGAAUUACCGAAUAGUGUAAAGUUCAGAAGUUAGCUUCCUUCCUUCUGCUCUCCCCUACCUCCAAGUUCACUGUUGUUUCACAAAGACUUGUAAGAAAACACCGUCUACCUGGAACCAACUCCAAAUGUACAAAGUGAAGCAUCCAUUACUUCCUUUGUUGUGAGCUGUUCACAUUCAAGAUGCCUUCCUUAAUUUUUCAUUUUAUGUUUAAAGUACACAAAUACACAAAAUUGUGUGUAGCCAUUUCUGAGAUGUCCCAGAACACCCUUAUAAGUGAGGACUAUAGCAAUGAGCAUAAAGCAGCACAUUCAACAACAGCUCGUUCAGUCUGCUUUCAAUGAAAGGAAGAGUGACGAGAACAGUGAAGUUUUACUGGUUUACUUGGGAAACACCAAAAUCCAUCACCUGUAGAUGAUUAUUUACUGGAAAACAUAACUAAAUGUCAUAUAAGACCACAAAAAGGGCAGUACCUUUCAAAACACUGCUAUAGGCACCCUAAGGGAAACCAAAGUCCUGGUUCAUGUUUACCUGUGUGUGUCUUAAAAAAAAUAAGAGAAUUCUGCUAAAUGUGUCUUAACACAUCCAUGUCAGAUCAACUGUUAUGUCCAGAGCAGCUGGAGGAAUAGCUGUCACACAGCAGUUUGGUGAAGGUCUGUCAAGAGGUUAGACCAAAACCUGUCUAUCAAUGCUUAACUACUAAUUAAGGAAAGCAACAUCUUUAGGGAAUCCAAGGAGACAGCAUUCAACAGUUUUUAUUGACAGGCAAACCAGAGUACAAACUAAUUCUUCAGAUAACUCGCAGGAUAGGUUUGUGUUUGUUUGGGUUUAGGCACUCAGUUGAAUAUGAUGCCACAGGCCAAGUCACACCCACAAAUAAGUUUGAGAAGGAAAAGUGAUGGGAGAUGGCAGAAGAAAGGUCACUCAUCUUAAGUCUUAGAAAAAGGUUCAGCAAACUGGCUCCAGCCAAAGACACUACAUUCACUAAUGCUUCUAGCAGGGCUUCCAUACUCAGCCUUGUCUUCAGCUGAGAAAACACAGCAGCUGGAAGUUUGCCUGGAUUUCACUGGAGAAAGAGAUGUAUAAGACACUCCACCAAGUGACAGGCCCACUGGGCCAUGAUGAUUUUUUCCCCUGGUCUAACUGCUUUGUUAACAUCAAGUAAAACUGCCAAUUUCCCAGCUUGUUUUCUUAUCCCAUCUCAGUUAAUAAAGAUUCUCCUCUAA